GUCAGAUUGGCCGAGCGGUCUAAGGCGCCAGAUUUAAGCUCUGGUUAACGUAAGGGAGCGUGGGUUCGAACCCCACAUCUGACA
rnacentral:tRNA from 1 species